rnacentral:ribozyme from 1 species
UAAAAAAAAAAAAAAAAACAAAAAAAAAAAAAAAAAAAAAAAAAAAAAUUUUUUUUUUUUUUUUUUUUUUUUUUGUUUUUUUUUUUUUUUU